UUUAGUGAAAAAAAUAAAAUGUCGAAACUGUAGCAUGAACCUUGAAUAAAAUGAAAGAAUAUAGCAAUACGGAAUACGGAAAGAUGUGAAUGCGAAAAUAUAGGUCAUGCAAUUUUGUUCAGGUCAUAACGUACAUGUAUGUACUGUAUAUGCAAAGGUUGGAAAUGUACUGUCUCUUUCACUGACGCAUAAGCUCAUUUCGACUAUACUUGGGAUUAUGUUCAUGCCAGUCAUGGAAUAUUGUUACAGUACAGUGGAAUCAUUGAAACAUGUCUUCCAAUCAUGUGGCUGCGGUCAUGUUUAGCUACAAAUAUGUAUCAGGCUGAUAAACAAGCUGUUCAACAGCUGGAAACGCAUACUACUCCUGAAGCAUAGUACUAUAAAGGUAUCAUAUGCAUUUGACUUAUCAGCACAGAAAUGGUUGCCAGGCCGGAAAAUAUACGACUGUUUCAACAGAUAGAAACGCCUUGCUAAAGGGCAAUCUGGGUGUGCAUUAGGAGAAAGCCAGUAGAAAUGACUCGAAAAUGGCUACUACAAAACGGAUAGGCUUUGAAUAAAUAACGAUUUACCAUAGUAUUUAUUCAUUGUGAAGUGUACUGAACAUCAUUGUACAUUGUAUCUCUACUGAGUACAAUAUUUCGCAUAUUUUAACGUUUAAAAUAAACCAAGAGAAUAUAUGUUGCUAUACAUUUUAGCUCAUAACAUUGUAUGCGCCUGUCGAAUUGUCUCUUAUUGAUCUGCAUACCUUAAAAUAUUGUAUUUUAUAGCAUCCAGACUAUAUCAAUUAACAGUUAGCUUAUAAAUUUCUUAUACUUUAAGAGUAUUAGUUUCGGGUAAUGGCUAAGGAACAAAUAAUCAAUUCGAAUAAAUGUUUAUUUUCAUUAUUUUUAUGACAAAAGCAUGCAGUGUGAAAACAACACACAUAACUAACGUAACAGUAUGAGUGUAUGUAUAGAAUGUGUGUAAACCAUUGUUAACAUGAACAUGCUAUAUUCAUGUAAUAAAUAUUGUAAAAUUA